GAGAGAUGGGAUGAGGAACAGUAAAACAAUAACAGAGGAGAUGGAGAGCGAGGUGGAGGUAACGCUGGAACUCGGGCCGUUUGGAAACUUUAAAUGGACUGAUGCCAACACAGCAGAUCUUAUUGUGUGGCGGGUCAGCAAUAGGAACUUAUUUACUGGCAAGAGGAACACGGCCCUGCGAGCUUUCGAGCAGUUUGUCAGGGAAAAGGAGCUGGAGGGUAAGGUGGCGCCGACAUGGGUGAAAAAGAAAUGGGAGAAUCUGAGACAGAAGUAUAAGGACAUCAAAAGCCUCUCCUCGUUUGGGGGAGACUCAUCCGCUGCUCCAUGGAAAUGGUUUGCAAUCAUGGAUCAGGCUCUGAGCGAAGAGAUCCCGCUCACUCCUUCCAUUCUGACCAGCCCCUCCACUGCCCCCUCCACCCCCUUCACCUCGGCUGUUCUGGUGUCCUCCUCGGCUCAAGAGUCUCCGCCCGUGAAGAGGAGGAGGGAGCAGUACUGGCUGAUGGCUCUGCAGGAGCUGGAGAGGAGGCAGGAGGAGCGAGAGCGGCGAGAGGCUGAGAGAGAGGAGGAGAGGGAGAGGAGGGCGGCGGAGAGAGAGGAUGAGCGCGAGAGGAGGGCGGUGGAGAGAGAGGAGGAGAGGGAGAAGCAGGCGCUGGCGAGAGAGAGGAGGAGAGAGCAGGAGAUGACAGAGAAACAGGAGCGAUGGGAGAGGGAGCUGCUGGCCAGAGAGGAGAGGAGGGAGAAGGAGUACAGAGAAAGAGAGGAACGGAGGGAUAAAGAAGCUGCAGCGAGGGAAGACAGGCUCUUUAAACUGCUGGAGGCCUUUGUGGCUAAAAAGUCAGAUUAAUAGUGUUUCAUCUUCACAUCCAAGAACUGUUAUCUUUCUACUAAUAAAUGUUGCCCUGUUUUUGUAUCUUGUCGCCA
rnacentral:lncRNA from 1 species